CAGUAGCCGCGGUAGUACGUAGGGUGCAAGCGUUAAUCGGAAUUACUGGGCGUAAAGCGUGCGCAGGCGGUGUUGUAAGACUGAUGUGAAAUCCCCGGGCUCAACCUGGGAACUGCAUUGGUGACUGCAGCGCUGGAGUGCGGCAGAGGGGGAUGGAAUUCCGCGUGUAGCAGUGAAAUGCGUAGAUAUGCGGAGGAACACCGAUGGCGAAGGCAAUCCCCUGGGCCUGCACUGACGCUCAUGCACGAAAGCGUGGGGAGCAAACAGGAUUAGAUACCCCCGUAGUCCCUGUCUCUUAUAC
rnacentral:rRNA from 1 species